rnacentral:rRNA from 1 species
AUUGAACGCUGGCGGCAGGCCUAACACAUGCAAGUCGAGCGGAUGAGGGGAGCUUGCUCCCUGAUUUAGCGGCGGACGGGUGAGUAAUGCGUAGGAAGCUGCCCGAUAGAGGGGGAUACCAGUUGGAAACGACUGUUAAUACCGCAUAAUGUCUACGGACCAAAGUGUGGGACCUUCGGGCCACAUGCUAUCGGAUGCGCCUAGGUGGGAUUAGCUAGUUGGUGAGGUAAUGGCUCACCAAGGCGACGAUCUCUAGCUGGUUUGAGAGGAUGAUCAGCCACACUGGAACUGAGACACGGUCCAGACUCCUACGGGAGGCAGCAGUGGGGAAUAUUGGACAAUGGGCGCAAGCCUGAUCCAGCCAUGCCGCGUGUGUGAAGAAGGCCUUCGGGUUGUAAAGCACUUUCAGCGAGGAGGAAGGGAGUUGUGUUAAUAGCGCAGCUUUUUGACGUUACUCGCAGAAGAAGCACCGGCUAACUCUGUGCCAGCCGCCGCCGUAAUAC